GAUGAACGCUGGCGGCGUGCCUAAUACAUGCAAGUCGAACGCUGAAGGAGGAGCUUGCUCUUGUGGAUGAGUUGCGAACGGGUGAGUAAUGCGUGGGUAACCUGCCUGGUAGCGGGGGAUAACUAUUGGAAACGAUAGCUAAUACCGCAUGACAACACUUAUUGCAUGAUAACUGUUUAAAAGUGGCAACUGCUCCACUACCAGAUGGACCUUCGUAGUAUUAGCUAGUUGUUGAGGUAACGCCUCACCAAGGCGACGAUACAUAGCCGACAGGAGAGGGUGAUCGGCCACACUGGGACUGAGACACGGCACAGAGUCCUACGGGAGGCGGCAGUAGGGAAACUUCGGCAAUGGGCGGAAGUCUGACCGAGCAACGCCGAGGGAGUGAAGAGGGUUUUCGGAUCGUAAAGGUCUGUUGUAAGGGAGGAACGAGUGUGAGAGUGGAAAGUUCACACUGUGACGGUAUCUUACCAGAAAGGGACGGCUAACUACGUG
rnacentral:rRNA from 1 species